UACGAAGGGGGCUAGCGUUGCUCGGAAUCACUGGGCGUAAAGCGCACGUAGGCGGACUCUUAAGUCGGAGGUGAAAUCCUGGAGCUCAACUCCAGAACUGCCUUCGAUACUGGGAGUCUUGAGUCCGAGAGAGGUGAGUGGAACUGCGAGUGUAGAGGUGAAAUUCGUAGAUAUUCGCAAGAACACCAGUGGCGAAGGCGGCUCCCUGGCUCGGGACUGACGCUGAGGUGCGAAAGCGUGGGGAGCAAACAGG
rnacentral:rRNA from 1 species